AGCAAUGGGAUGCGAAUCUCGAAAGCCUGUCUCAGUUCGGAUUGGAGGCCGAAACCCGCCUCCAUGAAGUUGGAUUCGCUAGUAAUCGCGCAUCAGCCAUGGCGCGGUGAAUACGUUCCCGGGCCUUGUACACACCGCCCGUCAAGCCAUGGGAGCCGGGGGUGCCUGAAGUUCGUGACCGCAAGGAGCGACCUAGGGCAAAACUGGUGACUGGGGCUAAGUCGUAACAAGGUAUC
rnacentral:rRNA from 1 species